rnacentral:rRNA from 1 species
GAAUUCGCCCUUAGAGUUUGAUCCUGGCUCAGGACGAACGCUGGCGGCGCGCCUAACACAUGCAAGUCGAACGGAGUCAAGAGGAGCUUGCUUUUCUUGACUUAGUGGCGAACGGGUGAGUAACGCGUGAGUAACCUGCCCUGGAGUGGGGGACAACAGUUGGAAACGACUGCUAAUACCGCAUAAGCCCACGGAUCCGCAUGGAUCUGCGGGAAAAGGAUUUAUUCGCUUCAGGAUGGACUCGCGUCCAAUUAGCUAGUUGGUGAGGUAACGGCCCACCAAGGCGACGAUUGGUAGCCGGACUGAGAGGUUGAACGGCCACAUUGGGACUGAGACACGGCCCAGACUCCUACGGGAGGCAGCAGUGGGGGAUAUUGCACAAUGGGGGAAACCCUGAUGCAGCGACGCCGCGUGGAGGAAGAAGGUUUUCGGAUCGUAAACUCCUGUCGUUAGGGACGAUAAUGACGGUACCUAACAAGAAAGCACCGGCUAACUACGUGCCAGCAGCCGCGGUAAAACGUAGGGUGCAAGCGUUGUCCGGAAUUACUGGGUGUAAAGGGAGCGCAGGCGGACCGGCAAGUUGGAAGUGAAAACUAUGGGCUCAACCCAUAAAUUGCUUUCAAAACUGCUGGCCUUGAGUAGUGCAGAGGUAGGUGGAAUUCCCGGUGUAGCGGUGGAAUGCGUAGAUAUCGGGAGGAACACCAGUGGCGAAGGCGACCUACUGGGCACCAACUGACGCUGAGGCUCGAAAGCAUGGGUAGCAAACAGGAUUAGAUACCCUGGUAGUCCAUGCCGUAAACGAUGA